rnacentral:rRNA from 1 species
GACGAAGGGGGCUAGCGUUGUUCGGAAUUACUGGGCGUAAAGCGCGUGUAGGCGGUUGCCAUAGUCAGGUGUGAAAGCCUUGAGCUCAACUCAAGAAAUGCACUUGAUACUGGGCGACUAGAGGACCGGAGAGGAUAGUGGAAUUCCCAGUGUAGUGGUGAAAUACGUAGAGAUUGGGAAGAACACCAGUGGCGAAGGCGGCUAUCUGGACGGUUUCUGACGCUGAGGAGCGAAAGUGUGGGGAGCGAACAGG